GGUAGGGUGACUGAAUGUUCAAGUGAUGGUUUGUAGCUCCACAGACGGAGGUUUAAUUCCUCCCCCUAUCA
rnacentral:tRNA from 1 species